UACGAAGGGUGCAAGCGUUACUCGGAAUUACUGGGCGUAAAGCGUGCGUAGGUGGUUUGUUAAGUCUGAUGUGAAAGCCCUGGGCUCAACCUGGGAAUUGCAUUGGAUACUGGCAGGCUAGAGUGCGGUAGAGGAUGGCGGAAUUCCCGGUGUAGCAGUGAAAUGCGUAGAGAUCGGGAGGAACAUCUGUGGCGAAGGCGGCCAUCUGGACCAGCACUGACACUGAGGCACGAAAGCGUGGGGAGUAAACAGG
rnacentral:rRNA from 1 species